rnacentral:piRNA from 1 species
AACAAUGUGAUCUUUUUUGGGAAGCAA